CAUGGUCCCAUCUUAUUGACUCUAUGCACAUGUAUGUGUUCUGGUUAGGAGGACCUAAAGGAGACCUACAUCAUGUCAAGUUGUGUAAAUGAUUAUGGUAGUAGAUUGGAACAUAAUGGGCUCGGUUAGCUGGUGCUGUCUAAUGAAGCAAAAGCAACCCACCUCCAUUAUGACAACUUACUUUAAGCAUGUGGCCUUGCAUCCCCAGUUCUUAUCUAAACUAAACAAUCACAGGACCUUUGCAACUAGGCCACCUUGUAUUCCUUCAUAGCUGCAAACCUAGUAUCUUAUGUCACCUAUUUG
rnacentral:lncRNA from 1 species